rnacentral:rRNA from 1 species
GAUGAACGCUAGCUACAGGCUUAACACAUGCAAGUCGAGGGGCAGCAUGGUCUUAGCUUGCUAAGGCCGAUGGCGACCGGCGCACGGGUGAGUAACACGUAUCCAACCUGCCGUCUACUCUUGGACAGCCUUCUGAAAGGAAGAUUAAUACAAGAUGGCAUCAUGAGUUCACAUGUUCACAUGAUUAAAGGUAUUCCGGUAGACGAUGGGGAUGCGUUCCAUUAGAUAGUAGGCGGGGUAACGGCCCACCUAGUCUUCGAUGGAUAGGGGUUCUGAGAGGAAGGUCCCCCACAUUGGAACUGAGACACGGUCCAAACUCCUACGGGAGGCAGCAGUGAGGAAUAUUGGUCAAUGGGCGAGAGCCUGAACCAGCCAAGUAGCGUGAAGGAUGACUGCCCUAUGGGUUGUAAAUUUCUUUUAUAAAGGAAUAAAGUCGGGUAUGCAUACCCGUUUGCAUGUACUUUAUGAAUAAGGAUCGGCUAACUCCGUG